ensembl:processed_transcript Snhg8 small nucleolar RNA host gene 8
CCCUCGCGCGCAGGCUCUUGGGAGAGCGUCACCCGGGCUAUAAAAGCGUGCGCGCACCGUUCAGAAGUCUCUUUGGCUGCGAUCCGCCUACGAGUAUGUAGUUGUAUGGUGGGGAUGAUAUCUUGGGCCUUAUUUGUGAGUGGCCGAGAUGCGGGAGACACAAGGCGGCUAUGGUGCUGGCCGAAAGCCAUCAACUCUGCAAGAGCGCCGUGAAGGUUAGCGCGACGACCACCAUGUAAAGCCGAUACGGUGUUGGGCGGCGUGACGCAAGUUCGCCACCGCUGGGUCGGAUGGAAACGCCGGGACCCGUUGCUGUUGAACAGUGGAGGAAGUGUUAAGGUACUGUAGUGGUUGAGAUCGUCUCUGGUCAACUUACAGGGAAUCUUCGCUUUUAAUUUUUGAAAAUUGAAUAUUUUAUAUUAAAUAAAAGACGUCUGGUGUGUAAUAA